rnacentral:rRNA from 1 species
CCUACGGGAGGCAGCAGUAGGGAAUUUUCGGCAAUGGGGGGAACCCUGACGGAGCAACGCCGCGUGAACGAAGAAGUUAUUCGGAAUGUAAAGUUCGUUAAACAGGGAAGAAAGAGAAAUUUGACGGUACCUGAAGAAUAAGCACCGGCUAACUACGUGCCAGCAGCCGCGGUAAUACGUAGGGAGCGAGCGGUAUCCGGAAGUAUUGGGCGUAAAGGGGGCGCAGAUGGCAUAUUAAGUCUUUGGUAAAAAUGCUGGGCUCAACCCAGUAGGGCAAAAGAUACUGCAAAGCUAGAGUAUGACAGAGGCAAGUGGAACUACAUGUGUAGCGGUAAAAUGCGUAAAUAUAUGUAGGAACACCAGUGGCGUAGGCGGCUUGCUGGGUCGAUACUGACAUUGAGGCACGAAAGCGUGGGGAGCAAACGGGAUUAGAUACCCGAGUAGUC